UAUGGUGUGUGCCAGCCGCCGCGGUAAUACGUAGGGGGCUAGCGUUAUCCGGAAUUACUGGGCGUAAAGGGUGCGUAGGUGGUUUCUUAAGUCAGAGGUGAAAGGCUACGGCUCAACCGUAGUAAGCCUUUGAAACUGGGAAACUUGAGUGCAGGAGAGGAGAGUGGAAUUCCUAGUGUAGCGGUGAAAUGCGUAGAUAUUAGGAGGAACACCAGUUGCGAAGGCGGCUCUCUGGACUGUAACUGACACUGAGGCACGAAAGCGUGGGGAGCAAACAGG
rnacentral:rRNA from 1 species